rnacentral:rRNA from 1 species
UACGAAGGGGGCUAGCGUUGUUCGGAAUUACUGGGCGUAAAGAGCGCGUAGGUGGUUUGGUAAGUCAGAGGUGAAAGCCUGGAGCUCAACUCCAGAACUGCCUUUGAAACUGCCAAGCUGGAGUCUCGGAGAGGAUAGUGGAAUUCCUAGUGUAGAGGUGAAAUUCGUAGAUACUAGGAGGAACACCAGUGGCGAAGGCGACUAUCUGGACGAGUACUGACACUGAGGCGCGAAAGCGUGGGUAGCAAACAGG